AGACUGUAAAGUGGAGCGAAACCCAGAAAAGUACUCUCAGUUCAGAUUGUGGGCUGCAACCCGCCCACAUGAAGUUGGAGUUGCUAGUAAUCGCGGAUCAGCAUGUCGCGGUGAAUACGUUCCCGGGCCUUGUACACACCGCCCGUCACACCAUGGGAGUUGGGAGCGCCCGAAGCCGGUGAGGUAACCGAGAGGAGCCAGCCGUCGAAGGUGAGACCAAUGACUGGGGUGAAGUCGUAACAAGGUACC
rnacentral:rRNA from 1 species